UUUGUGAAUUUGACAGCACGUUGUGUAAUGGUAGGAUCACUUCUGUUGUCAAUGGCUAAUUGUUUGGCUCACAAUAUAAUAUCAGUCAUAUAGUACUCUGGAGGGGACAGAAGAAUUCACGUGCACCCAGUCUUCCCCCAGAUCCUUUGAGAUAAUAGAUAAGGUACAAUGACGUAUGGAAGUGGAGCAGGAAAGGUGUUUAAUUUUGGAGGCAUUUGCACCUGGAGUCAGAAACAGACCCUCCAUCUACUUAUUUGCUUUCUAGAAGCCACAUCUUUAAAGGAACUCACAUCUUACUCCUCACACAUGCAGCUCAUCUGGCCAGUGCACAGUGAUAGAGCACUAGCUAUGCCUGGUGUCCACCUCUCAUUGGCUCAUUUAGGAGACCAGGCACUUUAAGGGCAUACGUAUGAAGUAGUCCCUGCACUUCCUUGAACACUUGAGCUCUUGCCAGCCUUAAAUUGGGUGGAAUGAGGAGUGGAUGCUCUUUAUUUUCUUCCGAUGCCCUCAUAUGAUUCUAGAACUGAGCCCCACGUAAACUGUAACCCUAGGGAGAUGCCAUACCUGGUCUUUCUAAAUCUUAUUAAAAUAAUUCAGUAGUACUCCAAGGAAGGCAAAAGCUAUCUUUAUAUUACAAUGUAUUUAAUCACUACUAAAAAGAUGAUAGAAGAAUUAUGAAAUUAUUUCUGCCAGAGUGCCCCCAAUAAUAAAAUAGUGUUGUGAUACUAUAUUAUUAAUGAGACUUCUCCAUCUAAUCUUAAACAUGCAUUAACCAGGAUGCUUAUAUAGUAUAGAAGCAGAUCUAUGUUGGCUGGCUUUCGAAACCAAUCUUUCUGUAUUAGGAACCAACACAUCACUGUUCCUUCACUAUCCCACGUGCUAGGAAUGAUGAGGAAAUCCUUUUCCCGCUUUAACACUAAACUUUUCCAGAUAAUUUCUCUAGGAAAAUACGAUGCAACCCAGCAACAUGUAUGGAGCAGUCCCGUAUUACAGAAUAGCAAAGAUGAACACAUCCAACUUUAUUAUUUCUUUAAAAAAAAUGACUCAUAACUGUUUGAUGUAAUGUGUCUCAUGUAAAUGUAUGAUGACCUGAAUAAAAAUAGUGAUGUGCAAGGUCCA
rnacentral:lncRNA from 1 species